UGGUGGGGUUGCCACAGGCAGGCACCGGGCAGGUGAUCAGGGCACACAUUUCCCGUCCAUUGAGACAGUAGCAUUCCCGGCACCCAUCGUGCCAGCUCUCCUCAUUUUUAUGAUGAUGACCAUCCACGGUGAGACAAGUGCCCGACAGGAUGGGUGGCCCAGCUGAAGCAGAGGCCUCUGGACAGACAAAAGGCAGCCUGGUAAAGAAGUGGCUACUGCACAGGAGAAACAGGCUACAGAGUCUGUACAUGGACUGGACCCCAGCCACCAACAAUUACGUCUAACACAGGACAGUUUGUGACAUGGGACAUGUUCAUGAAAAGAAUUUAAGUCAGUAUGUUCUCAAUCUUGAAAAAAGAAAAGAGAGAAAAAAACCGGCAAAUAGUUUCUCUCCAAUUCGUGGGAUGAUCGCUGAUUUUUUAUUCCUUCCACUGUACUUUCUCAUAUUUUAUACAAUAAACAAGCACUGAUUUUAUAA
ensembl:lncRNA novel transcript